GAUUUCUGGCUUGGUUCGCCUGGCCCGCCACGGUUACGUGUGUGAGUGCCGGUGUGGAUCUGCCAUCACUUCUAGGUCACAUUCAUACUCUUCAUUGAGCCGUGAAUGCGUAUCUAGAUCUUUUACUUUGAAAAAAUUAGAGUGUUUCAAGCAGGCAUGUUUGCUAUGAAUACAUUAGCAUGGAAUAAUAAUCUAGGACUUUCGGUUCUAUUUUGUUGGUGUUCUGGAGCUGAAGUAAUGAUUGAUAGGGAUAGUUGGGGGUGCUAGUAUUCAAUGGCCAGAGGUGAAAUUCUCGGAUUCCUUGAAGACUAACUUAUGCGAAAGCAUU
rnacentral:rRNA from 1 species